ACGACCGCAGGGAUAAACAGAAACCCGUUUAACUUACCAAGGUCAGCAAGCAAUGCAGUGUCUUUUAGUCCAGAUGUACUCUCUCAGGUGUUGGCGGGCAUGGUUCUGCAUAUCGCAAAUCUAAAGGAGUAAUGUGUAGGCUGUGUAGGUUAUGUAGGAAGUCACCGAGGACGUUGACUUGAAGCACGGGAGAAUGUAACCAGCACUAGUUCAGUUGCUAUGAAACAUAUGGCUUGAGAUAUGGAUUUCCAUCACAUGAGACAGAAAACAUCUGGUAAAUAAAAAAUGAAAGGACAUGGCUUCAAGAAACAACACAAGGCACAAGAACAACCUGCUUGACCCCAACCAAUUGGGCUU